rnacentral:misc_RNA from 1 species
GAAAUGCGAUAAUUAAUGUGAAUUGCAGAAUUCAGUGAAUCAUCGAGUCUUUGAACGCACAUUGCGCCCCCUGGUAUUCCGGGGGGCAUGCCUGUCCGAGCGUCAUUGCUGCCCUCAAGCACGGCUUGUGUGUUGGGCUUCCGUCCCUGGCAACGGGGACGGGCCCAAAAGGCAGUGGCGGCACCAUGUCUGGUCCUCGUGCGUAUGGGGCUUUGUCACCCGCUCCCGUAGGUCCAGCUGGCAGCUAGCCUCGCAACCAAUCUUUUUAACCAGGUUGACCUCGGAUCAGGUAGGGAUACCCGCUGAACUUAAGC